AGAACGAACGCUGGCGGCAUGCCUAAUACAUGCAAGUCGAACGAACUCUUCGGAGUUAGUGGCGCACGGGUGCGUAACGCGUGGGAAUCCGCCCCUUGGUUCGGAAUAACAGUUGGAAACGACUGCUAAUACCGGAUGAUGACGAAAGUCCAAAGAUUUAUCGCCAAGGGAUGAGCCCGCGUAGGAUUAGCUAGUUGGUGAGGUAAAGGCUCACCAAGGCAACGAUCCUUAGCUGGUCUGAGAGGAUGAUCAGCCACACUGGGACUGAGACACGGCCCAGACUCCUACGGGAGGCAGCAGUAGGGAUAUGGACAAUGGGCGAAAGCCUGAUCCAGCAAUGCCGCGUGAGUGAUGAAGGCCUUAGGUGUAAAGCUCUUUUACCGAGAUGAUAAUGACAGUAUCGGAGAAUAAGCCCGGCUAACUCCGCGCCAGCAGCCGC
rnacentral:rRNA from 1 species